ACAGCAGCAGCCGCGGUAAUACAGAGGGUGCGAGCGUUAAUCGGAUUUACUGGGCGUAAAGCGUGCGUAGGCGGCUUCUUAAGUCGGAUGUGAAAUCCCUGAGCUUAACUUAGGAAUUGCAUUCGAUACUGGGAAGCUAGAGUAUGGGAGAGGAUGGUAGAAUUCCAGGUGUAGCGGUGAAAUGCGUAGAGAUCUGGAGGAAUACCGAUGGCGAAGGCAGCCAUCUGGCCUAAUACUGACGCUGAGGUACGAAAGCAUGGGGAGCAAACAGGAUUAGAGACCCCAGUAGUCCCUGUCUCUUAUAC
rnacentral:rRNA from 1 species